AUGGCGACGGACAUGUUGACCAUAUACCUGCACUAUGAAGUUACAAAUCAGGAAGCCAAAAUGUUACAAAGAUCCAUGAUGAGGCGUGAUGUCUUGUAUUAUGACUUAAUCUUGAUGAUCGAGGAAGUUGGCUUUCAGGCAAUUAACUUUCUGUACUAUGCGAAAAAACCCUGUCUAGGCAGCUCCUACUUAGUUCACAUUUAUGAUCAAGGUCUUGUGUUGAAAAUGUUGUCCGACCCUGAGAUUGUGAAAGCUGUCCAUCUGUAUGUGUCUAAGGAGAAGGUUGACGAUCAUAUUGCUCCGCCUAGUAAGCAAAUUCAUAUUGGUCCAUCUAACCAUCCGAAUGAGAGUGUUCUCUUACAACACGGUGGUGUCUCUGCUGAAGGGGCAGGGAAACUUACUAUGGGAAUGCCGCAAAGUAUCCCUCUUGAACCAUGCUUAUUACAUAUCUGUAUCUACUGUUGUAAUUAUUGGAAUAAAAGAUGUAUGGUCGUUCUGCAGGACCAUGAUGUCAACCAAUUACAAAUUCAACAGAAUUCAUCAUCAUCACAAGACCAUGUUAUUGAUUCUGUGCCAGAGGUGAGGGAAACCAGGGAUCUUACAGGUGAAUCUGUUUCAAGAACGAACCAGCAGGGGACUAGAACUGAACACCCACACCCAGCUCGCUCAAAAAGAAAGCGUACUUCUUCCAUCAAGACUUCAACAUAUCCCAACAAGCGGAAUGUUGCAUAUGGUACUAUUCGGAGUACUAAUCCAAGAACUAAGGUUGGUGGUAUUGAGUUAGGUGCUGAAUUUGCCCUUGUGCGCAUAGAUCAACCUAUUCUUGAUAAUGAGGAGCUGGUAAGGGAAGUUUCUAAUUGCAAGACAAUUGGUGAGGCUUUCAAUUCAGGAUACUUAAUUGCCUGGCCUUCAGCUUUUAUUCGAGAGAAGGAUAGUUGA
rnacentral:rRNA from 1 species